AUAGUAAUUAUUUACAAUUAAGUAAGAACAUAUGACUCUAUUCAGCCAACACAUUUUCUCCUACCUGGAACAGAGGAUAGAAAAGGAUCCCAUCAGGCCUCUACUGCACAAAUAACAAGAAAAAAAAGAAAAGAAAAGAAAAGAAAGCAAACAAGUGUAAUUUGUAAAUCUAAUAUUCUUGCACAAGGAAUCCACUGGAUAUUGUAGGCAAUGGCCUUGUCAUCUUAGCCACUAGAAGACUCCAUCUAUCAGAAGCUGGCAAUUCUGAAUU
rnacentral:lncRNA from 1 species